rnacentral:rRNA from 1 species
UACCAGCACCCCGAGUGGUCGGGACGAUUAUUGGGCCUAAAGCAUCCGUAGCCGGUCCUACAAGUCUUCCGUUAAAUCCACCUGCUUAACAGAUGGGCUGCGGAAGAUACUAUGGAGCUAGGAGGCGGGAGAGGCAAGCGGUACUCAGUGGGUAGGGGUAAAAUCCUCUGAUCCAUUGAAGACCACCAGUGGCGAAGGCGGCUUGCCAGAACGCGCUCGACGGUGAGGGAUGAAAGCUGGGGGAGCAAACCGG